AGCGGGUUGGAGUCCCGAUAAAUCGGGAGUAGCUCGUCGGGCUCAUAACCCGAAGGUUCUAGGUUCAAGUCCUAGCCCCACUA
rnacentral:tRNA from 1 species